UCUGGAGGCUUGCCUUAGCAAUGCAAGUCGAACGGCAGCGCGGGCUUCGGCCUGGCGGCGAGUGGCGAACGGGUGAGUAAUACAUCGGAACGUGCCCUGUUGUGGGGGAUAACUAGUCGAAAGAUUAGCUAAUACCGCAUACGACCUGAGGGUGAAAGCGGGGGACCGGUAACGGCCUCGCGCAAUAGGAGCGGCCGAUGUCUGAUUAGCUAGUUGGUGGGGUAAAGGCCUACCAAGGCGACGAUCAGUAGCUGGUCUGAGAGGACGAUCAGCCACACUGGGACUGAGACACGGCCCAGACUCCUACGGGAGGCAGCAGUGGGAAAUUUUGGACAAUGGGGGCAACCCUGAUCCA
rnacentral:rRNA from 1 species